UUUUGAAAACAAGAGUAUUUCAAAGUAAUUUGCUUCUUAAUGUUACUUAAGUUUAAAGAUAUACUAACUUGUGUUUUUUUCUCAUUACCCUUGUUAAAUAGGAUGAGAAUUCAAAACAACAGUUCUGUUAGCCAAAGCCACCAGUCAUGUGCCACAUUUAUCCACAGGGUUCAGUGAAAGGCCAGCUAGGGGAAGGUGGGUUCCCGGAUGAUGCACCACUGUGAUUUCUGGAGGGCGUCUUGGAUGAAGACCUGGAGAACAGUGCAGGGAAGAGAGCUCUCUGAUCACCGUGAGGCUGUGGCUCAGGGACCAUACGGCAAACACUUCCCAUCCUGAAUCCGUAGAUCCUGCAGAUGACCUGGAGUCAGUCACAGAAGCACGUGUCUCUAGCCAUCAUCCUCCACUUAAAGAUUCAAUAAUCCCAGUUUCACCUGAGAGAAGACCUCUGAAAAGGACUCUUCAAGAUGCUACAUGGAGCUGUGGCUCUACCUCUGGCUGCUGGUGCUGUAUAUUUUAUGGGCUUGUCUGGAUUGAUUCUGGAUCCUCAAGAAUACCUGAAGAUAAUAUUGUUUAUACCUAAGAACAGAUAAAAAGGCUUAACAAUAUUCUUUAAAGAAG